rnacentral:sRNA from 1 species
UAGACUCGCCCUGCCACCGCACGCACGUCU